AGGGGUGUAGGUUUAACGGCUAGACCGCCGGUCUCCAAAACCGGAUGUGGGGGUUCGAAUCCCUCCACCCCUG
rnacentral:tRNA from 1 species